rnacentral:rRNA from 1 species
AUACGGAGGACGCGAGCGUUAUCCGGAUUCAUUGGGUUUAAAGGGUGCGCAGGCGGGAGAUUAAGUCGGCGGUGAAAUUUUGCGGCUCAACCGGGAAAAGGGCUUUGAAACUGGGUUUCUUGAGUGUAGGAGGAGUAAGCGGAACUUUUUGUGUAGCGGUGAAAUGCAUAGAUAUCACGAGGAACUCCGAUUGCGCAGGCAGCUUACUAAACUACUACUGACGCUCAGGCACGAAGGCGUGGGGAUCAAACAGGAUUAGAUACCCUGGUAGUCCACGCAGUAAACGAUGAUUACUAGCUGUUUGCGAUACAAUGUAAGCGGCUGAGCGAAAGCGUUAAGUAAUCCACCUGGGGAGUACGUUCGCAAGAAUGAAACUCAAAUGAAUUGACGGGG